rnacentral:rRNA from 1 species
CCUACGGGAGGCAGCAGUGAGGAAUUUUCCGCAAUGGGCGAAAGCCUGACGGAGCAAUACCGCGUGAGGGAUGAAGGAUUUUGGUCUGUAAACCUCUUUUCUCAAGAAAGAAGUUCUGACGGUACUUGAGGAAUAAGCAUCGGCUAACUCCGUGCCAGCAGCCGCGGUAAUACGGGGGAUGCAAGCGUUAUCCGGAAUGAUUGGGCGUAAAGCGCCUGUAGGUUGUUUAUUAAGUCCGUUGUUAAAGCCUAGGGCUCAACCCUAGAAAAGCAAUGGAAACUAGUAGACUAGAGUAUGGCAGGGGUAGAGGGAAUUUCUAGUGUAGCGGUGAAAUGCGUAGAUAUUAGAAAGAACACCGGUGGCGAAAGCGCUCUACUGGACCAUUACUGACACUCAGAGGCGAAAGCUAGGGUAGCAAAAGGGAUUAGAUACCCCUGUAGUCCUAGCCGUAAACGAUGGAUACUAGAUGUUGUGCAUUAUGUACAGUAUCGUAGCUAACGCGUUAAGUAUCCCGCCUGGGAGUACGCUCGCAAGGGUGAAACUCAAAUGAAUUGACGGCUGNGANGCGAGCGACGACGAGGAGAG